rnacentral:tRNA from 1 species
CAGAUUGUAGCUUAUUUAAUUAAAGCUUAUUUUUUACAUUAAUAUGAAAAUAUUUAAUUAUUCUGUCUGA